rnacentral:lncRNA from 1 species
GCUCUGCUUGCCUGUUGCUCAUCUACUCGGCGCCGCUGAACGAUAACGCCUAAGCCGUAAGCUAUUAGUUUCUGUGCUGUUGUGAGGUAUUUUGUCGACAAAGAUGCAUUGUAGGUGGCCGAUUUCCAUUUUUGUAGCACUGGCUGUCGGACUACAUGCUAUCGUGGUUACGAAUUGUACCAAAAGUGAUGUUUAUGUCCGCACAAAUAAUGGUUCUUGUCUUUACCAUAACUUGACCGUAGAAGAUAAAAACCACGUGACAUUGAAAUGGCCUUGCGCAAGAGUUUAUUGUAGUGUGACAUAUGGCAUGGUUACAGUAUAUGGGUGCCCCCUUGAGGAUUAUUAUACUAAAAGUAUACUACAAUAUCCGGGCGAUGAGUGGCCUUUCUGCUGCGCAAGACGGAAGCACUUAAUUAUACAUGAAACGACAACAACAACUACCACACCAGAGCCUACUACGACUACUACUGCAUCGACAACAACAACUACUACCACAGAGCUUACUACAACUAGUACUGAAUCGACAACUGCCACAGAGCGUACUACGACUAGUAGUGAACCGACAACAACUUCAGCAACUGCCACACCAGAGCCUGCUAAUGAUGUAGGUGAUAUGUAAACUC